CAAAGCCUGAAGAAUUUUGGUCUUUAGAUUGAUGUUAUGCAGUUACUUCUAGAUGGAGCCUAUGCAUUUUCUGUCAAAAGCCUGACCUCCAUGAAAGAAAUUACUGAAAGAGAAACGACACAGAAGGCUGGAGGCUUCCUCUGCCUGCAUUGUGCUGUGUCCAAUUGCACGGAUGGAACAAAAUUACCGCAGGAGAUUGCAGAGUAACGUUCUUCAACCCAAAUGCUGCCCGUUCGUUAAACAUGGAAAAUUUCAAUGGGGAAGCCAACAAGUGCGGGUGGGAGCUGAGUCAAUGUUUUGAUGACUGUGACCUUUACCAUGAAAAUGAACAAUAUGCUCUCUGCUUUGAAUAUCGCUGUAGACUUUUAUUUAUGUUAUUUUUUUAAAUUUAAAAUAAAUGUUGUUCAGGCAGUAUAGUCUGAUCACUCACUGUUCCUCUUCCCCCUGCUCCUCCAGACCCUCACAGACCUUCCCAUCCACCCAACUCUGUGCACCCCCUCCUUAGAAUCCGAACAGGUAAACAAAAAAAGCAAACAAAUACGUAUA